rnacentral:miRNA from 1 species
ACAGCUUACCAAAUUGCCAUC